AUAAAAAAUCCUAAAAACUAAACUAAGACUAACCUAAGAUACUAUCAAUAAUGAUACUCUGAACACAAGUUUUCUU
rnacentral:sRNA from 1 species